CAGCCGCCACGGUAAUACGGAGGGUGCAAGCGUUAAUCGGAAUUACUGGGCGUAAAGCGUGCGUAGGCGGUUCGUUAAGUCUGUUGUGAAAGCCCCGGGCUCAACCUGGGAAUGGCAAUGGAUACUGGCGAGCUAGAGUGUGUCAGAGGAUGGCGGAAUUCCCGGUGUAGCGGUGAAAUGCGUAGAGAUCGGGAGGAACAUCAGUGGCGAAGGCGGCCAUCUGGGACAACACUGACGCUGAGGCACGAAAGCGUGGGGAGCAAACAGAAUUAGAUACCCGAGUAGUCCCUGUCUCUUAUAC
rnacentral:rRNA from 1 species